UUCACGUUAUGAAUAGGGAGUUGAAAGGGUAAUUGUUUUCUUAAGUUUUUCUAUCGAAAGCAGCAGCCUCAUAGAGGAGAAAGAGUUCUUUUCAGGCAGAAUAAGAGCUGGUGCAGUAGAGAUUUUGCAUAGAUAGAUUGAAGCCAUUGGAGGCUAUUUGGUUAAUGUUCUACGAGUUGCGAGGUUGAGGAAAUUUGUCAUCAACGAGAUAUAUUGCGAAGGUGAGACUAGUGGUUAACGGUUCGUUCAUGAAGAUUCUCUUGCUAAGGGUCAUCCAUGACAAUCCAUCAUCACAUAAGGGAAUCAAGUCAAUUGUGGUGUAACUUAAUUUUCCGGUGUAACAUACAACAAAUCCCAACAAGUUAUCAGGAAUAUACCAAUUUUCAGGCAAAUUGACUGAUACUUUUUUAUCCGUUCCCUGAUGGUGGAACCAACUUGGGAUCUUAUUCCCACCAAGCUUAACGCUAAACACUCUUAGUGAGAAAGAAUCUGAAGCAGAGAUGCUGUGCUGCAAGGAAAGUGGAAAAGAAUUUAGAUCCCUCAUCACACUGUCUAGCAUGUGAAUUUCCGACUCCACUUUCAUGCUUCCCAGGAUUUCUGGAAUUUUUUUUAAAUUAGGGCACCCCUCUAGAUCCAUAUAUUCAAGGGAAUCAAUGCAAAGAGUUGAAAAGCUCUUCAGCCGUCUACAAUUAGUCAAUUUUAAUGUACAGAGCUUUAUGAGAAAUCCCAGGGAAUGAUGAAUCUCUUCAAGAUUCAUACAAUUUGACAGAUCCAAAGUGUCCAAGUUUGGCGUCCCCAUGAAAUCUGGCAAAUAUUUGAGCCUCCUGCAAUCUGAUAAAUUCAAGAAUUGAAGUGCACCAAGUUGGGCCAUACUUCGAGGCAAAUGCACAAAAUUAUUUCCCCUGAGAUUCAACACUUUCAAAGAGGAUAAGCAUCCAAUGUCUUCUGGAAGUCCUCCGUCUAUUAUAUUGCAGUAAUUGAGAUUCAGAUAUUCCAAUGAAUGCAACCCUUUAUUCACCUCAGGGAACACAAAUGACACUCCAUCUUCUAAGUUUCCUUUUGCAAAGCUCAAGUAUUUAAGCUUGUUCAAGCGGAAGAUGGAAGCCGGAGGUUGUGAGAUGAGAGUACAUAGGGCAUCAAGCUCCUCCAAGUUUUCUAAAUCACCUACUUCUUCUGGCAGCACGACACAUCUAGCUCCAGCAAAUUUGGAAUCCCCGUGAAAUCUGGCAAAUGCAGCUAUUCAGAAUACAGAAAGAAUGAGAAUUAGGAUGCUGCCAGGAUAACUUAGAUUAGGCUAGGGGGCCAUCAAGGAAUCAAAUGACCUUUAUAUUAUUAUUUUUUUUCUUCUUGUUUUUACAUCUCCCUAAAGCUGCCACCUUUUUAUUGCCUUGAUGAAUUGAAGUGCUUGGGCAAUUAAUUUAAUUUAUUUGUGCCAUUCAAAUUUAUAUUUUCAAGUAUCUUAAGUCAUGUAUUUUUCCUUAAAGAACUUAUGUCCAAAAUUAGGCAAAAAU